rnacentral:lncRNA from 9 species
GGGGGGGGUUGCUGGUUGGCUCGGUGGGGGCUGCAGCAAGUUCCCACAUCUCAGGCCCGAGAGGGUGUCCCUCUGUGGAUCCUGCCCCCACGCCCGACGCUCGGGUUUUACCACCUCCAACAGGCUACACUUCCCAGGAGACCGGAGUCAGACCGACACGCUGUAGGAAGAGGGGGGCAGAAAGGGGGUCCAGAGUGAGCCCGAGGUCAGAAAGCAUCCCGUGCAAUGGAGAGAAAGCCACACACACACACGGCGUGGAUUCUCAAGUACCUCAGUCCUUGAGGCCCUGCUGAGAGCUGUGGUGGAUGAACCUUGGGGUCUGGGAGCUCCCUGGUGGUGCAGCCGGUUAAGGAUCCCAUGUUGUCAUUGCAGCAGCUCGGGUUGCUGUAUUGCGUGGUUCGACCCCUGGCCUGCGAAGAAAGAAGCCUGGAAUCUGAGCAGCCCUUCCCCUCAUAGGAGGAGAAGGCCGUUGUCUCCCCACGGGGGGCGCUGAGGGGAGCGUGGAUUUCCAGCCACAUUCCUGCUUGGCUUCGGGCACCUGCUCAGAGCCGCUUUGUCCUGCACCCUCGGCGCCACAAUGAGACGGAAAGUGGGGUUGGCCGUCUUGCCUCUCCUGUGGUUCAUGCCUCAGGCAUCAGUGACAAAGUCAAGGGUUUUGGCAGCGAGGGUGUAAAAGCCCUGGGAACGGAGACGGUUGUAGAAGGGACCUCGUCCAUCCACGAGGCAAGCAUUUCAGAGAAAGGGCCUCUCGAAGACGCUGGAAACUCCAUGCCAUCGACAGUGACGCCGACACGCCCGGGUCAGGUGAUGCAAACCUGAUCACCCUUCGUCCGGCCUCUAGGAGUCCCCGUGCUUCUCCCACCCCCUCGGUGAGCCAUUGAGCUCAGGGCCUCAGUGCUGGAACAGUGGCUGUUGUGCAGUGAGGCGCCGAAGCCUUCGAGGGUCGGUUUCCCCUGGGACGGCCGCCUGAGCACGAAAGCAGGUGGCAGCGGGGCGGGACAGCUUGGGCAGCCGCUAGGUCAGCUUAUCAGACGCCUGCAGGCUCAAGUGUACACAGCCGGCGUGGCCCUCGUUUGAGGAGACCUGUGCCCAGUUCAAAGCUGAGAGCGUAUUUGCGGACACCUCAAAUCCCCGUGCGAACAGGCAGCCAGACUUGCUCUUUGCAAUGUACUCAGUGCGUUUUCCUGCUGGAAACUAAGUGUCUGGAACAGGUGUCUCGUCACGUGCAAAUGCUUAAACGCCUGUUUACAAUCAUGAUGAAACAUGUUUAAAUGUGCCCUGUACCAACUUAGGGCCAUCUGGCUAUACGAUGACCCCGAGGACAUGAUGCUGAGUGAAACAAGUCAGAGUGGGGAGCUCCAGCCGACCAGUUUGAGGCUCAGGGGCUCGCAGCAUUUUGGAAAUUGAACAACUGGCUUUUGCGAGGUGGAACUGGCCAUUUCUAGAUGUUACUCAGUUCCUACUGCCUCUUAGACAGUGGUGAGUCGUAACUACCCGGAACAGAUGGCACGUGUCUAGAGGGUGAGCCCCGAUGCUCUGUGACAUUCGUAGCCUCCUGAUGCUUCACCACGCACAAAACAUCCCCGCGUCACCUCCUCCACACUUUCCUCCUGUGUCCCCAUGGCCCCACCCUUCUCAGCCCUCCCCCACCUUCCCCUCCUGAGGCAACUGCUGGCCCUCUUUCUGUCACUUUUCAUUUCCAGAGUUUAUGCAGAUAGAUCACGAAAUUUUUUGUCUGGAUUUUUUUACUCAGCAUGACUACAUUUGGAUUCAUUCAUAUGGCUGCAUGUAUUAAUAAUCGAUGUUUAUG